rnacentral:lncRNA from 1 species
CAAUGAGACAACUCUCCAUCCAAGUCACAACUUAUAAAAGUAAACCAUUAUAGGUCAAGGUACAGUCCUCAACAUGUCAUGUUACGAUGGGAACCACACACUUAAGAACAUUUUACCGUUUAGAAAGACCCAAUAAAUUUUAAAAUAUCAUUUAUCAACACCUUAAGAAACACAAUCAUCCUAUUAAAUAUCUUACAGUACAA